rnacentral:lncRNA from 1 species
CACAAGAAAACAAACUACCACCUCUUUUGGUACUGUAGCAACCUUUAAUUCCAUCUAUAUUGGUGUUGGGAUACUGUAUUCUCACUUUUCCAUAGCUAGUACCCCCCGAUACUAACCAUAGUUUCAUCGAAACAAGCAAUCAACUCAACAAAAACAGAAUCUGUCAAAAACAGACUAGUUUGUAGCAAUCUGUAUACUUCGUAUACUUUUGGUACCUCAAAAAUUCUGAAAAACUAUGAAUGCCUAGGCAAAAGGCAUAUCAACCAGCAGCAAAAAGAAUCAACUCAAAAGCUCUUUCUGAAUAAAAGAAAAAUCAUCUCGUGAGCGAAAAUUUUAUGUCUUUUUCCAGCAGGAUCAAAC